AUAUCUCUGCCGCCGGGCAGAAAAAUGCGAAAAGCAUUCCGCUUACAUCGUCAGGCCUUUGAAGAUGUAUGCAGGAUGCUUAUUUUUUU
rnacentral:ncRNA from 1 species